rnacentral:misc_RNA from 1 species
AACGCACCUUGCGCUCCUUGGUAUUCCGAGGAGCAUGCCUGUUUGAGUGUCAUGUUAACUCUCAGCCAAUUGGUUGGACUUUGGAUGAUGCGGGAGUCUCUUUCGCUCGUCUUAAAUGCAUUAGCAGGGCCGAGGGGCAACCCACUGCUGGCGUUGAGUAAUGCUUGCGCCUUGUGGGUCUCGUUGGCCUGCUUACCAGUAUAUGACCAUGGUGUCCGUCUUGAAUGCAUGGGUAGGGCUUUGUUUUACCCACUGCUGUAGCAGGCUAUGCGAAUGAGGUAGGUGGGUCUACGUGCGCAAACCCGUUUCAGUGAUGCGCGUGCGUUGCAUUGGGGGUAUUGCCCGGCCUUGCCGUGCGCAAACCCAGUGAUUGACCCCCUACUGUUGCUUGCAAUGCUUGAGCAUCAUGCUUACUGCUGGGCUCGUUCCGAGCGGACGGUUUAAAUCACCACUGGUGCCUUGACUUCUGGCCUCAAAUCAGGUAGGAUUACCCGCUGAACUUAA